rnacentral:lncRNA from 1 species
GCUGAAACAUCACAUCAAAACAAAAGAUUUAUCAUUUUUAUAUCAACAAUUCAUGCACCUACUAUCUCCCACAAAAGUUCAAGAGUCAAUACAUACUAUAGACGAGAAAAGAGUUCUAUAACAAUCAAGAAAACCUCAUAUACAUAUUAACACAAUAAAGCACUUAUAGCCCACGCAAAUUUAAGAAUCAACACAUACUAUACACAAGUAAAAAAAUUAGAAAAUCUAGAAAUCUUCACACAAAAAAUCUACAAUUCAAUCACCUUUAGUCCAUAACAUUCAAGAAUCAAUACAAAUAAUACCCAAAAGAUCCUUUUACAAUAAUCAAGAACACCUCAUACACACUUCUAGAAAUUUCAAGAACCAAAACAUAUCAUGAACAAAAAAAGCUUUACACAACAAUCAAGAAACCCAUAUACACAAAAACAAGAUAAGUUGAUUUUUAACAACAUACUAAUAGAGAAAUCAUAAAGAAAAGAGCUUUUCACAAGAAUCAAGAAACCCAUGUACAUAAAAACAUAAAGGGUUGAUUCUUAAGAACAUACUAAUAGAGAUUACACUUGAGCCGACUAGCCCACUUAGCAUAAGAUCUUGGAAAAGUGAAUCUUGAGAAGAACUCAUUGAUGGGCCUAGGUGGUGAUGACCAAUCCACUUCCCUUAGAGCUUCGAUCAGAUCUUCUCCACUCACGUUCCCCCAAUCCAUCUUGAUCCAACCCAAGAUUUUGUGUGUGUGUUUUUGUGUGUGAAACUGGGGAAGACCAAGAUUUUGUAAUGGGAAGGAGUAUAAAAUGGGAUUUUCUAUCUGGGUUUGUACAAAGCAAUCAAGAUAUGUUGUGUGCUUGUGUGUUGUGUGUGUAUUUAUUUUUCUUAUUGUCCAGGCAACAUAAUUAAGUUGUCAUAAGAAAAUUCUUCUGAUAUAUAUGCACUUAUUAUUUAUUUUUUUGUGUCCAUUCCGGAGGAGUGGGAUACUGAGAUGGGUUUUUCAAAUGAAGGCCUGGCUUGGGCCUUAGAUUUGGUUUUUGAUACCAAACUCAGCCCACCAACUCGAUUCAGAUAUAUUCGGCAGAGUUGAUUUAGUUUUGAUAAAAAAAAAAAAAACCUGAUUUUGGGACGGUUUUGACAAAUUUAAAAAAAAAUGAUUCUUUGCUUAAAGUAAAGAAUUGAAUUAGAAAUGAAAAAUAAAUAACUUAAUAAAGUUUUUGGAAAAAAAAUAAAAGCUUUGAGAGGAAAACUAGCAUUCUCAUCUUCUUAAAAUGUUUCUGCUUGUUUACCCAAACGGGUCAGGAAAAACAGAGACCAGAAUCAAGAGUUGGUUCUGCUAAACAAACAGGGGGUUUGAAUCAUUUUUAACUUUAAGCUAAAAAAUAUUUGUUUAAUAUUGUGAGAAAGUGAUUUAAAAAUUAAAAAUAAGUCAUAAACUGAAUUAAAGUGAGAAAUUAGUAUGAGGUACUUUUUCCGGUGAUUUUUAAUUAUUAUAAAUUUUUUUGAUAAAAAUUACUCAUAAAUUAUAAGUUACACAUANAUACAACAUACAAGAAUUGCAUAAUAUCACACCUAUCAUUCAACAAGGCAAUAGUCAAAGCGGUUAAUAGGGCAGCAAGAAUAGCAACUGGCCUCCUCAGAAACCCCAUGCCUGCGAUACUCAAAAGUUACAUACAUACGCUAAAUCAAUAUCCAAAAAGCCAAAAAAAACCCAACGGAAAGGCCAAACUUACCAAGAAUCAGCACAAUCAUGAUGAAAUAAUUGGUCCUAUAGCUGAAACAUCACAUCAAAACAAAAGAUUUAUCAUUUUUAUAUCAACAAUUCAUGCACCUACUAUCUCCCACAAAAGUUCAAGAGUCAAUACAUACUAUAGACGAGAAAAGAGUUCUAUAACAAUCAAGAAAACCUCAUAUACAUAUUAACACAAUAAAGCACUUAUAGCCCACGCAAAUUUAAGAAUCAACACAUACUAUACACAAGUAAAAAAAUUAGAAAAUCUAGAAAUCUUCACACAAAAAAUCUACAAUUCAAUCACCUUUAGUCCAUAACAUUCAAGAAUCAAUACAAAUAAUACCCAAAAGAUCCUUUUACAAUAAUCAAGAACACCUCAUACACACUUCUAGAAAUUUCAAGAACCAAAACAUAUCAUGAACAAAAAAAGCUUUACACAACAAUCAAGAAACCCAUAUACACAAAAACAAGAUAAGUUGAUUUUUAACAACAUACUAAUAGAGAAAUCAUAAAGAAAAGAGCUUUUCACAAGAAUCAAGAAACCCAUGUACAUAAAAACAUAAAGGGUUGAUUCUUAAGAACAUACUAAUAGAGAUUACACUUGAGCCGACUAGCCCACUUAGCAUAAGAUCUUGGAAAAGUGAAUCUUGAGAAGAACUCAUUGAUGGGCCUAGGUGGUGAUGACCAAUCCACUUCCCUUAGAGCUUCGAUCAGAUCUUCUCCACUCACGUUCCCCCAAUCCAUCUUGAUCCAACCCAAGAUUUUGUGUGUGUGUUUUUGUGUGUGAAACUGGGGAAGACCAAGAUUUUGUAAUGGGAAGGAGUAUAAAAUGGGAUUUUCUAU